rnacentral:misc_RNA from 1 species
GUGUUCCUUAGAACCGCGAGUUUGCGGACAAUAUUUACAUUUGAAAUCCUUCUAAUUUGGCCAUGGGAACCACAACUUCAAGCAGCCGCGUAGAAGAAACGAUCUCGACGCAUUACGAUUAUGCUUCUGUGUUGGAAGAGCAAGUCAAUGGAGAGGAAUCUUUCCGACUGUAUCGAGUCACAUCAUGUCGUUUUGAAGCCAUACUCUAUAACCCUAAACACUCACCACACUGCUUCAGUCUCUAUAGAGUACCGGAAGAAACAGAGGCUAGAAAAAAAUUCAGAGAUUUUUGUAAAAGACUAGCACCAUUUUAUCAAAGUUCUCCUAAAUGCUACAAUUCAGAAGUUCUCCAAGACCUUAUUUCCUGUUUGGAACAGCAUCCUGAUUGGUCAUUGGCUCAUGUUGCUACUCACGUGGGUCUUUCAGAAUGUCUGAAGCACAAGGAAAUUGCAGAUUCUGUGGAUAGUGCCUGUAAAGAUAAACAAAGGACUCCUCUGCACAUGGCAUCCAGGAGUGGAAAGCUGGACUUUGUGCAAACUUUAAUGGAGCAUGAUCCUAGACUCCUUGUGAAAGACAAGUCGGGCAACACACCACUUCACUACGCUGCUGAACGUUACCCUGAGAUUCUAGACUCUUUUCUGAAAAAGGCCAAAGAACUAGGUAAUCAGCUUGCAGAAGUUGUGAACACAACUAACUCUAGCAACCAAUCACCUCUGGACAUUGCCUGUCGAUACUCCCAGGGUGACAGUGUACAAAUGUUGCUAGAAGCUGGUGCUGACCCUGACAAAUCGCACAAUGGCUGUCAUCCCAUCCAUAUUGCUGUUGAUGCCAAAAGUGAUUCCUGUGUUGCCACACUUUUGGAGUUUCACCCUGAACAGGUCAAUGUCCGAGAUAGCAAAUAUGGAGGUACACCCCUACACUGGGCCAAGACCAAAGAGGCGGUUGAGCUUCUCCUUGACAGUGGAGCAGAUAUAGAAGCACAUAACCAUGAUGGCGAAACACCACUACAUAUCAUGGCUCGCCGCAAAAGACUGGAUUGUACCAUAGUACUGUUGAGCCGAGGAGCUGAAGUUAAUUCACAAAGCAAAGAUGGUUCAACUCCACUACAUCAAGCAGCAAUGGUUCAAGAUGUGGAUAUAGUGCGUGCCCUGAUUGUGUUUGGUGCAAAUGUUAACAUCACAAAUAAGAGAUACGAAACACCAAGACAUGUGGCCACUGUCGUACGUCAGCAUGGCUGGCAGGAAGUUGUACAUGCUCUUGGGUUUGUGGGUGCAGCAGCUUGCGAUAAGAGCAAGAGUAGAUGCACUUUGGAGUGCAACAAACCAUUCCAAGGAGAAAUGACAAUUGGUGGAACUCCAGUGAAAGCAGCAGAAAGAUUACCUGGUUACUAUGACAUCAUUAAGCUUGCAGCUGCUGCAGUGGCUUCCGUACUACCGCAAUCAAGGUCUUACCAAGACUCAGUUGAUGCCCCAAGAAAGGGACCCCACAAAGAAUCAAUCUUCAAGUCCCGCCACAAAAAAGAAGCCAUCCUUUCCAUGGAUGGAGGAGGAAUCAGAGGGCUUAUACUCAUACAGCUUCUACUGGCCUUGGAGGAAUUCACAAAGCAGCCAAUUAUUCAAUUGUUUGAUUGGAUAGCAGGGACAAGCACAGGGGGAAUACUAGCGCUGGCUAUAACGCAUGGCAAGUCCGCGCGAUAUUGUCAGGGCCUAUAUUUCAGAAUGAAAGACUUGGUUUUCGAAGGUCAACGGCCUUAUGACUCAGAACCACUUGAGAAAUUUCUCAAACAGGAAUUUGGAGAAAGCGUCAAGAUGACAUCAGUACUUCACCCAAGAGUGCUGGUUACGGGAGUUUUGGCGGAUCGCAGACCUGCCAGUCUACACUUCUUCCGCAAUUUUGACGUACCUGAUGAAGACUGGGAUGCUGCUCAAUCAAUUUCACGGUUUUCACUGCCACCUAAACCCUCAGACCAGCUGGUGUGGCGAGCAGCGAGAGGGACUGGUGCUGCUCCGUCGUUUUUCCGUGCUAUGGGUCCGUUCUUGGAUGGUGGAUUGAUUGCUAACAACCCAACCCUUGACGCUCUAACAGACAUUCAUAAAUACAAUCGUUUGGUACGAGGUGACACUGCCUGCUCGUUUGGACUUGUCGUGUCCCUCGGGACUGGUGUCCCGCCACCAAUGCAUGUCCAGUCAUUUGACGUAUUCAAACCAGAAUCCAUUUGGGACGCAACCAAUGUCCUCAUGGGAGCUCGUGCUUUAGGAGAAUUGCUGGUUGAUCAGGCUACUGCUACUCAUGGCGCGGUUGUUGAACGUGCGAGGGCCUGGUGCCAGAUGCUUGGCACUCCUUACUAUCGGUUCAGUUCUCCGAUGUCAUCUGAUGUUGGGCUGGACGAGACUGACGACCGUAUUUUGGUGAAAAUGUUGUGGGAGACUAGAGUGUAUGUAAUCCAGAACUACAAGGAAUUUGUUGAGUUGGGAAAGCUACUGACAUCGUAAACACAAUCUAGGGUUGUAGAGGGAAUGGAAAUGAAUAAACCGGAUUGUGGAGCAAGUCCUUUUGAUUUCUAUUUCCACAAGAAACCAUUAAAGAAUAUGAGAACCGCCAUCUACGUAGUCAAUUACAACCCCUGAGGGUCAUCAAGUUCAGAUCUGCAGGCACGAGAAACACUUUUGAUGCCAAGUGCUGAGUUGAGACGGAAGUUGUCCGUUGCAUCAAACCCUUAGCGGAGAUUUCUCUUGAUUUUAUUUUUGUAGGAGAAAGUAUUAAAACUGAAAUGUUUCGCUCGACAAAAGAUUCAUGGAGAAAGAUGUUAACUGAUUUGCUACGAGUGUAUACCAAGCAGAGAUAAUUCGUAUUAUAGAUCAUUCGUCAUGUCUUUUUUUUUAAAGCAAUUUAACUUAUUUAAAUUUAUUCCUCACUGGCACCGAGCUACAUUAGCCUUGAAUCGAUUUUCAGUUUAAAGGCAGCAGUCGUCAGUUAAGUUGAAUUUUGAUUUGAGCUCUGACUGGGAAUUUGUUUCUUAUUUAAUUCUCUCUUAAAGCGAAUAAAGAGACAAGAAUUUAUUUUUUUCCUCGGUCGGGAUCUUUAAGACAAAUUAAAUGUAUAUAGGUCCAAAUUGACACACGGAACAAUAAUAUUACUAACCAGCUGGAAGCUGCAGAUUUCAAUAACCCCAUAUGUACGUUUAAUUUCUGCUUGUCAAAAGUAUUUCUUGUCGGACUUCAAAAAUCUCGAAUUGUUGAAGUCCAAUGAAAAAUAUAUAUGUUUAGUAUCUACUGAAAACGAAAUGCAAUUCCAUGCACGACAAGCUCAGCAUGGCAAAGAAAGAAGAGAAUUAACAAAGGAUGUGUAAUCAUGUAACACAGAAAGGUCACAAGUGGAAGAAAAAAGAACAGAUGGCCUCCAUGGACCGAAUAACGCAUCUUAAUUAUAUCAUUAAAAACUCAUAUUGGGCGCAAAAUUACAUUUA